rnacentral:rRNA from 1 species
GACGGGGGGGGCAAGUGUUCUUCGGAAUGACUGGGCGUAAAGGGCGCGUAGGCGGCAAUUCAAGUCAUCUGUGAAAUCUCCGGGCUUAACCCGGAACGGUCAGGUGAUACUGUUUUGCUAGAGUGCGGAAGGGGCAAUCGGAAUUCUCGGUGUAGCGGUGAAAUGCGUAGAUAUCGAGAGGAACACCAGAGGUGAAGACGGGUUGCUGGGCCGACACUGACGCUAACAGCGCGAAAGCCAGGGGAGCAAACGGG